GGGGAAAGGAAUUCCUUUCAGUGCAGUGACUCCUUGAUUCCUUUACCAGGCAUGCCCCCUGAAGCCCUCAUUUCCUGUUGGAAGUUGGCUGAAUUGGAUAAAGGACAUGGCUAGGGGCCUCUUGGGGCCUGGAUUAGGGCCUGCAAGAGCACACAGAGCCAGUCUGGACAUAUCUCCAUCCAUCAAAAAUCAAACCGACUCAAGGACCUAUUCAAUCCCAGCAGUGGAGAGGAAUAAUGUCCCAGCAGCUGAAGCAGAUGCUUUUCAUUUUCCUUCAAGGAACAUGAGAGGUGCCGUUGAACCAAAGGUACGGUUAAGCCACAGUCCCCGAGGGCCCGGAAGAUGGUUUGGCAGGGGAUCACGAAGAACAGGUCAACAUAAAGAGCGAGGGAAGGCGAUGCAAGGCAGACGGAAGAGUCAAAAGAAAGCCGGCGAAGUCUUUGAAUCCAGUGGAAUUCCUCUCCUCCUCCGUGGCUCCUCUGGGAGGCGUCAGGAGCCUGUGGAGAGAGCGAGACAUCAUCAGGACAUGACACUUCAGAGGUCAGAUGCACACGCUCCACCCGCAGCCAUCAUCCAGCUGACAACACCCCAAGUUUUUUUGGUAUGGCAGCUCCACACCGAACACUCCGAGACAAUGAAGACCAUUCACACAGAUUUCAGUCCGAGCAAGAUGACAUGA
rnacentral:lncRNA from 1 species